AUUGAACGCUGGCGGCAUGCUUUACACAUGCAAGUCGAACGGCAGCACGGGCUUCGGCCUGGUGGCGAGUGGCGAACGGGUGAGUAAUAUAUCGGAACGUACCCAGCAGUGGGGGAUAACGUAGCGAAAGUUACGCUAAUACCGCAUACGAUCUAUGGAUGAAAGCAGGGGACCGCAAGGCCUUGUGCUCCUGGAGCGGCCGAUAUCUGAUUAGCUAGUUGGUGAGGUAAAGGCUCACCAAGGCGACGAUCAGUAGCUGGUCUGAGAGGACGACCAGCCACACUGGAACUGAGACACGGUCCAGACUCCUACGGGAGGCAGCAGUGGGGAAUUUUGGACAAUGGGCGCAAGCCUGAUCCAGCAAUGCCGCGUGAGUGAAGAAGGCCUUCGGGUUGUAAAGCUCUUUUGUCAGGGAAGAAACGGUAGAGGCUAAUAUCCUGUGAUAAUGACGGUACCUGAAGAAUAAGCACCGGCUAACUACGUG
rnacentral:rRNA from 1 species